rnacentral:rRNA from 1 species
CGCAUCUGUGCAUGCAGCAUAUCAAUAAGCGGAGGAAAAGAAACUAACAAGGAUUCCCCUAGUAACGGCGAGUGAAGCGGGAAGAGCUCAAAUUUGAAAUCUUAAAGGGUUUCCCUUUACGAAUUGUAGUUUAAAGAAGUGUUUUCUGUUGAGGUUUUGGUAAAAGUUCUUUGGAAUAGGACAUCAUAGAGGGUGAGAAUCCCGUAUUUGACCUUUACUUUCAACUUUGUGAUACACUUUCAAAGAGUCGGAUUGUUUGGGAAUGCAGUCCAAAAUGGGUGGUAAAUUUCAUCUAAAGCUAAAUAUUGGCGAGAGACCGAUAGCGAACAAGUACCGUGAGGGAAAGAUGAAAAGAACUUUGAAAAGAGAGUUAAACAGUACGUGAAAUUGUCAAAAGGGAAGCGUUUGACACCAGUGUUGUUUUUCUGAAAAUCAAUUAAAGAACUGUUUAUGCUAAGUUGUUUAGACUUUAUCAGCUAACUGUUUAGUUUUGAGCUUUUCUUUAAUGCACUUUUCAGUUAACAAGUCAACAUCAAUUUCUUUUGCUGUAAAAAAGCUUGAGGAAGGUGGCUUGAGAUUCGUCUUAAGUGUUUAUAGCCUCUUGCCUAUGCAGUCGGAGAGAUUGAGGUCUGCAGCGUAGAUCCUUCGGGGCUAAAUGCAUUUGCGCUAAGUUAUAACAUUUUAUAGACAACUUGUUGACUAUGAUUUGUCUUGUAGCUUACUCGCUUAUGUUAUUUUACCUACGCUUAGGAUGUUGAGCGCAUGUCUCUCUCU